rnacentral:rRNA from 1 species
GACGAACGCUGGCGGCGUGCUUAACACAUGCAAGUCGAACGAAGUGGCGAACGGGUGAGUAACGCGUAAUCAACCUGCCCUUCAGAGGGGGACAACAGUUGGAAACGACUGCUAAUACCGCAUACUGAAGGAGGGGAUUGCGGCUGAUUAGCUAGUUGGAGGGGUAACGGCCCACCAAGGCGAUGAUCAGUAGCCGGGCUGGGAGGGUGAACGGCCACCUUGGGACUUGGAAUCGGCCCAGACCUCGUCGGGAGGGCGGCGGGGGGGAACUUCCGCAAUGGACGAAAGGCUGACGGAGCAACGCCGCGGUGGUUAUGACGGCCUUCGGGGUGUAAAGCUCUGUUAAUCGGGACGCGGUACCGGAAUAGAAAGCCACGGCUAACUACGUGCCAGCAGCCGCGGUAAUAC